UACGUAGGCAGCAAGCGUUGUUCGGAAUUACUGGGCGUAAAGAGUGUGUAGGCGGUGCUCUAAGUCUGUUGUGAAAUCUCCCGGCUUAACUGGGAGGGUGCGGCGGAAACUGGAGUGCUCGAGGGUGGGAGAGGUAAGCGGAAUUCCUGGUGUAGCGGUGAAAUGCGUAGAUAUCAGGAGGAACACCUGUGGUGUAGACAGCUUACUGGCACCUCUUCUGACGCUGAGACACGAAAGCGUGGGUAGCAAACAGG
rnacentral:rRNA from 1 species